rnacentral:lncRNA from 1 species
GGUUUGCAUACAUUUCAUUUAGCAAAAAGCAAUACAGAAGUAAAACGUAAAUUAUGUGUGUCUAUAAGACACGUUUAAAUACCCCAGCCAUAGUUGAUUUAGUCCAAUUAUUAGUUAUAAUGUAUAUGAAUGUAUAUUUGAAAAAAAAUAUCCUAUAUAUAUAUAAAAGAAGAUGUGGUAUGAAUGCCAACGAGACAACUCUCCACUAGAGACCAAAAUGACACAGAAAUUAAUAAUUAUAGGUUACCCUACGGGCUUCAACAAUAAGAUAGGCCAAUACCGCAUAGUCAGCUAUACAAGGCCACGAAAUGACAAUGUAAAACCAUUCAAAAGAGAAAACUAACGGCCCUAUUUAUAUAAAACAUUGAACGAAAAAAAAAUACUAGUAUGUAACACAUAAACAAACGACAACCACUGAAUUACAGGCUCCUGACUUGGGACAGGCACAUUCUUAUAUUAUGUGGCGGGGUUAAACCUGUUAGCGGGAUCCCAACCCCAUGCACUUAACAUGGGACAAUAGUAUAACACAGUACAACAUAAGAACGAACUAUUAAAAUCGUUUGAAAAUGGCUUAACUCAUCAGAUGACAAAACUACAAGUGGACGUGGCCGGGUACUUGUUCAUCCCCAACAAAAAGACACUAUAGGAACAUAUCUCAAAGUACUCGCAGUUAACUGACAGCUAGUUCAAAGCCACCAACAACUAAUAAAACAAAUCAUGUAUCUAAGACUAAAUAUGGACUUGCACAUCACUAUUAUGCGUAUAAACAUCCCAGUUGCGGAACUAGAAAUUUUCAAAAGUGGGUCUCAGUACUGCCGAAAAGGGGGC